UUGGCAGAAUCAGCGGGGA
rnacentral:snRNA from 1 species